GAUACACUACUGAAUGGAGGAAAUCUGUGCCAUAGUCAGAAUGGAAGGCGGUUUGAUGACAGCCACGGAGCCACAUUUUGAGAGAAUAUUGGGCCGCACUUCCUUGUCUUUCAGUCUUGUCUUGCCCUCAUGAAGAAAAGAUCUUCAGAGGUUCUCUGAUCAUGCCCUUUGUCCCACUCUGGUGGGUGCCACCUCAGCCUCAAGCUCCCCAGACAUUGGACUUUGUGUUGGGAUCAGCAUUACCAUCCACAUUUCAGUGCUUCCUGCUGGAGAGUCACCAGCUGCUGUCUGCAGGCUCUCAUGCUGUGUCAGCCUCCUUCACCAUCUUCCUCCUACUUUGGUGAAGUUGCCAACCAGGCAGUUGUUUUCUAAAAUGAUGCAAAAAAUGAUGUAGGGGGGUUAUUUUUAGGUGAUAGUAAACUGAAAAAUAAAACGUAUUGGAACUCUGUUCUUAUUCCA